rfam:Camelus ferus unplaced genomic scaffold scaffold842, whole genome shotgun sequence.
GCGGGUAUAGCUCAAGCGGUAGAGUGCAUGCUUGGCAUGUAAGAGGUCCUGGGUUCAAUCCCCAGUACCUCCA